rnacentral:rRNA from 1 species
ACGCGUAGGUAACCUGCCUAUUAGCGGGGGAUAACUAUUUGAAACGAUAGCUAAUACCGCAUAAUAUUAAUUAUUGCAUGAUAAUUGAUUGAAAGAUGCAAGCGCAUCACUAGUAGAUGGACCUGCGUUGUAUUAGCUAGUUGGUAAGGUAAGAGCUUACCAAGGCGACGAUACAUAGCCGACCUGAGAGGGUGAUCGGCCACACUGGGACUGAGACACGGCCCAGACUCCUACGGGAGGCAGCAGUAGGGAAUCUUCGGCAAUGGACGAAAGUCUGACCGAGCAACAACCGCGUGAGUGAAGAAGGUUUUCGGAUCGUAAAGCU